GAUGAACGCUGGCGGCGUGCUUAACACAUGCAGGUCGAACGGAAAGGCCCAAGCUUGCUUGGGUACUCGAGUGGCGAACAGGUGAGUAACACGUGGGUGAUCUGCCCUGCACUUCGGGAUAAGCCUGGGAAACUGGGUCUAAUACCGGAUAGGACCACUUCUUGGAUGUUGUGGUGGAAAGUUUUUUCGGUGUGGGAUGAGCUCGCGGCCUAUCAGCUUGUUGGUGGGGUAAUGGCCUACCAAGGCGUCGACGGGUAGCCGGCCUGAGAGGGUGUACGGCCACAUUGGGACUGAGAUACGGCCCAGACUCCUACGGGAGGCAGCAGUGGGGAAUAUUGCACAAUGGGCGCAAGCCUGAUGCAGCGACGCCGCGUGGGGGAUGACGGCCUUCGGGUUGUAAACUCCUUUCGCUAGGGACGAAGCGUUUUGUGACGGUACCUGGAGAAGAAGCACCGGCUAACUACGUG
rnacentral:rRNA from 1 species